CCCUUAGAUGUCCGGGGCCGCACGCGCGCUACACUGAAGGAAUCAGCGUGGCUUUCUCCCUGACCCGAAAGGGUUGGGAAACCCGUUGAAUCUCCUUCGUGAUAGGGAUUGGGGCUUGAAAUUGUUCCCCAUGAACGAGGAAUUCCCAGUAAGCGCGGGUCAUAAGCUCGCGUUGAUUACGUCCCUGCCCUUUGUACACACCGCCCGUCGCUACUACCGAUUGAACGGUUUAGUGAGGGCCUCGGAUUGGUCUCGGCCCGCUCUUCACCGGGCGGCGCCGUUGGUCGAGAAGACGCUCGAACUUGAUCGUUUAGAGGAAGUAAAAGUCGUAACA
rnacentral:rRNA from 1 species